rnacentral:lncRNA from 1 species
GUUGAUUAUUGGUGUUUACUCCCAGUGUAGAAAUAAUGCACAUAUGAACUUGAGUGUGUACGUGAUCUUGAUUUAGAAAGCAUGGCAAGACUCUCAUAAGGAAUACAACAAAGGUUGACUAAACUCAAUGCAGAGCAAGCAACAUAAAUGUGCAAAUGUCUUCCUAACUCUAAAUGUGUAUUAUAUAUGGCUUUAGUAUGAGGUAACACUUUGUCAUACAAGAGCUCGUCAUGUAGGUUUUUCAGAUUUUCAAAAUAAUUUUUUAGAACUUAGUAAUGCUA